UGUGCGUGUGCUUGCUCGAGUGUGAGCUCACUAGGGUGGCAGAUCACCAGUGUGGAGCUUGAGUGCCUGUGUGAUCCCCAAUGAACUGAGCCAGAUUCUCCUGCCUAAGUCAUCUGUCCAGAUCCUGGUGUGUGUGGGUAUUUUGCCUACAUUUAUGUCAAAUCACAUGCUUGUCUGUGCCAGCAGAGGCAGAAGAGGGCAUCCGAUCCCUUUGAACCGGAGUCUGAGCGGGUGUAAGCCCUCGUGUGCUUGCCGGGAACCAAGCCCCAGUCCUCUGGGGAGCAGCAGUGCUCUUAACUGCAGAGUCACCUCUCCAGCCCCCUCGUCAGAGACCUGUUACAGUUUUGUCUUCAAGACACUUGUAGGGGUUGGGGAUUUAGCUCAGUGGUAGAGCGCUUGCCUAGCAAGCGCAAGGCCCAGGGUUCGGU
rnacentral:lncRNA from 1 species